rnacentral:rRNA from 1 species
GACGAACCGUGCGAACGUUGUUCGGAAUCACUGGGCUUAAAGGGCGCGUAGGCGGGCCCGCAAGUCAGGGGUGAAAUCCCACGGCUCAACCGUGGAAGUGCCUUUGAUACUGCGGAUCUCGAGGGAGGUAGGGGCGUGCGGAACUUCCGGUGGAGCGGUGAAAUGCGUAGAUAUCGGAAGGAACACCGGUGGCGAAAGCGGCACGCUGGACCUCUUCUGACGCUGAGGCGCGAAAGCCAGGGGAGCAAAGCGGGAU